rnacentral:rRNA from 1 species
CGAGGAAUUUUCCGCAAUGGGCGAAAGCCUGACGGAGCAACGCCGCGUGGGGGAAGAAGGCCUUCGGGUUGUAAACCCUGUUGCGAGGGAAGAAGAUCUGACGGUACCUCGCGAGGAAGCCACGGCUAACUACGUGCCAGCAGCCGCGGUAAUACGUAGGUGGCAAGCGUUGUCCGGAUUUACUGGGCGUAAAGCGCGCGCAGGCGGGCUGGUCAGUCUGGGGUGAAAUCUCACGGCUCAACCGUGAGAGGUCCCUGGAUACUGCUAGCCUUGAGGGGCUCAGAGGAGAGUGGAAUUCCGGGUGUAGUGGUGGAAUGCGUAGAUAUCCGGAGGAACACCAGUGGCGAAAGCGGCUCUCUGGGGGCAACCUGACGCUGAGGCGCGAAAGCGUGGGGAGCGAACCGGAUUAGAUACCCGGGUGGUCCACGCCGUAAACGAUGAGUACUAGUUGUCGGGGGUAUCGACCCCCUCGGUAACGGAGCUAACGCGAUAAGUACUCCGCCUGGGGACUACGACCGC